rnacentral:pre_miRNA from 1 species
GGGGGGAAGCCAGAUCCUGGGCUGUGUCCCCGGCGCCCUGUGCUCCCGGGCUUGCGCUGUUGGAUUCGUGCUCCAGCCGGGAAACCCCCC